AGUUUUUCAUUCACGGUGAUUUUCUCUUUCGAGUACACCUGAUCAUUUGAUUCCAUUUUCAGUCAGCGACUUCACUUCAAAGAUUUGAGAAUGACUACCAUGUGGAAGCUGGUUGCUCUUGCAGCCGCGUUGGUGACGGUUUCAUCUUCGGUCAUAAUGUUAGUGCUUCAGAAGUCACGGGUGAAGGGCUUUCUGGUAGAUGCACCACAUCUAGACAAGAUCUCUCAGCUGAGUGCUGUGCCACACUGUCUUUCAGUUUCGGCAAACGCUAUAGCUUCUCAGUGUGUGCUUCCGUCAAGGUUCUUACAAAAGCAUUUGGCCUUCACAUCAAACUAACCGUCCUGGGUAGAACAAUUUACAGCAAAGACAUAUCAGCCCGUCGUUCACCAGCAAUUUGCGUAAACGUCCCUAAAAUAAAACUGGCUCAAGUCUGCCUGGGCAUCCGUAAUAUCCGAUGGACAAACGGCUUCCAUGCAUGCGUUGCAUUUCAAAUUCAUGCCUUUUUCAAGACUUUGUUGGAUAAACAAAUUGGAUGCAUUAACAUCUAAAAAUGGUUGGCCUAACUCACAUCCAAACACUUUGAUCGUAAUUGUGCUAUCAAAAUAAUAUAAGACUAGUCAGCAUGUUUUGCUUUUCAAGGCUUGUAGAGUAUAACUGACACAAAGCGUGUAUGCUGUGUGAUUGAAGUAUUUUCCAAAAAGUUGCACAAAGCUAAAUCUUUCAGAAGAAAACUGGCGAUAUAGGCUGGCGUUUAGAUGAAUGUUAUCAUUGUUAAUUUUUAAAACAAAUGAUUCUCAGCACAGUAAAUAACAUCUGGAGCAACCUUGCACAUUAAUGACAAUUUAAUUUUCAGCAAGGCUUUCCCAUUGAGGGUUACAAAAAAACCUUUUAUAGUUUAUUUAGUUACGCUGCUUUGCAGCGACUACGAAGUCAACUUGUAUAAAAAAAAAACUACGUACAGAUUAACCACCCACUGACAAAUUCACAUCAGCGGCUGUUAAACAACAAAACCUUCAGCUAAAUAAACCUUUCUUUGUCAAAACAAUAUCUUCCUGUAUGUAUGAAUGGUCAAAGUCAUAAAUGUCUCACCACUUUUUCUUUAUCAAGAAUGAAAAGUGAACCUGAGCUGCAGCCGCAUUUCAAAGGAGAAAAUGCACAGAUUUCUAAUGGUGGAACUGGGGGUACAGGCAUCUGCCCCCCGGUAGCUGUGCCACCGAUUAAAGUCAGAGGAUUAGACAUUGUGAAUUGAUGUUUAACAGCAUUGAUUAUUUAGUGUAACAAAUCCGACCUUAUUUCGUUGACGUAUUACCACGAUUACUAUUUAUUUUGAAGAAGACGGCGAGUAAUAGUUUUUUCAAGCAAUUGGUAGGCAUAUAUAUCAAAACUGGCAAAAAAGUCUCCGAGUUUAUCAUAUUGUAACAGUAGUUAAAAUUUAAAUUUCUUUGCACUUCUUUAAUUUUAAUUCCUUUGCACUUUAUCCCUAACUUCAUUGCUAGCAUUGCUACAAAAAGUAAACGUAAUUGGCAUUUUAGACUCUAUUCGUGUAUUUUCAUCAUAUCGUCAGUCAAAUAAUGUUAAAAGAAAAAAAAGGGCUUCUGAUUUGUUGUGGGAAAUGAGCAAUUUAGAUUGAAGCUAGUACAAACAAAACAAGGUAUAACUUUAAGGUAUACCUCAUUGGCUGUUUUAGUAUACAAAUACUGUUGAGGUAAUAUCAUCAACAGCAAGAGUACAAGAAAUUGUCAGGUGCAAUUGAAGAGACACAUUAGAUCCUUUUGGGAGUAGAUAAAGAAUACAAAUAAUGAAAUAAAUACAAGCUAUGAAA
rnacentral:misc_RNA from 1 species